rnacentral:lncRNA from 1 species
AGUAACAAUGUUAUUUUCUGAUCAGUUCAGUAAUACAAUGCCCUCUGAUGUUCACACCAGCAUCUCACUGGAGAAGAAAAGAAUGUUGUUGGCUACCUGGGACCAGAAGACUUCUUAGUGAAUCCUGCAAUGGACUGACCUCAUCUUCCCGAGGCUGUGAUGUUUCAGGAGAGUUUCACUAUUGCUGACCAACUGAGACCACCAGGAGCUCCUAAGUGCAAAGAAUGGCUACAUCUUUUCUUCUGGAUACCACCAGAUCAUUCCAGCCACCUGCCUUUGUGGUGUCUCCAGACAAGGGCUGACAACCAUCGAAGCAUCGAAACCCUAAGGCUACUUGGAGAGAAGAAGACUGUCCCUGGAGAAGCAAUUCUUUACUCACAAAUUUAAGACUCUGGUACCAAAUUUCCUCAGUUUUCAUGAUGAGAUGGAAAACGCUGGCCUGUUAAGUUUCUGCCAUGCCAUCCGACAAGAGUGAGCUUUAGGACUCUGAUGAAGAUGGCAUCCAGUUGGCUCCAAGAUGAAAGGCGUGGGUGACUGAUUUUUAAGAAAUCGGCAACACGGAAGCUGAUUAUAAAAUAUUCAUAAGAAGCUGGCUUUUACAGGUAAUCGCUUUUUUCCUUCUACUUCUUCCCAAACCUUCCAUUUCUUCAAAUAGUACAAUUUUUAGGACAUUGAAAGCUUAUAUAUUUAAUGUUGCUAGUUUAUAUCUUUAUAACCCAUCAAUCUAGCUUUUGUGGUCUUUGAUUCUUUGGAGUUUGAGAGUUUUUAGAAUUAAUUUCAAAAGGAUGUUUGCUUCUUUUUAAAGUAAUUUAGGCAGAGUUCAUUUGAAACCACAAACACUGUCUUUGAACUCUGGAUGUAUAUGUAUGUAUAUGUAUAUUAUAUGCAUAUAUGUGUGUCUAUAUAUCUGAGAAUUCAGGGUUUAUAUGCAUUUCAGAAGGUUGUUAUUAAUAUUUUAGCUUCAGUUCUACUUGAUUACAACUUAGCACUUUCUGGAACUCUUCAAUAUCCAUUGCGUGGGUGGGGAUUGAGUUUGGCUCUCAUGAUCCAGGCAGCUUCCUUUGGGUGCCGCUGAAGCACUUUGUCCCACCUAGAAAGGUUUACAAGCAUCCAUGAUCUGGUGUCCAAAAAAAAGUACCUUUCCCUUUGUUUGUAAAUGACAGCCCCAUGUUUUCACAGUUG